GCAGAUGGAGUCUGGAGGGACGGCUGGAGUGGAGUGUGUGGGACCUGAAGGUGGUCGUAAGGCUCCGCGUGCGGCUCGUGCCCAUGGCGACUGCGCAGAAGACAGGCGGGGUUUUUUUUCUCCCUCUAACAUUGUAUUACGAUCAUUUUAACGCAUACGGAACAGUUGAAAACAGUGCAGUGAACACCUAUAUACCUCCGCCUAAAUCAGACAACCUAGCACUUUGCCAUUUCUGCUCGUCACUCUCUCCCCACCUGUAGCUAUGUAUACACGUAUUGUCGUUAAACUAUUUCAAAGUUGCAGGCAUCAUGACAUCACAACUAGUACUUUGCACUGUAACUUUUUUUUGUUUUAGGACGGAGUCUUGCUCUGUCGCCCAGGCUGGAGUGCAGUGGCGAGAUCUCGGCUCACUGCAACCUCUGACCUCCGGGUUCAAGCGAUUCUCCUGCCUCAGCCUCCAUAGUAGCUGGGACUACAGGCAUGUGCAAUCCUCCCGCCUGGGCCUCCUGACUAGAUGGGACUAUAGGCUCACGCCACCAUGCCUGGCUAAUGCUUUUUACUUUCCUCCAGAGACAGUCUACCUAUGUCGCCCAGGCUAGUCGCAAACUCCUGGCCUCAAGUGAACCUGAACCUCCUGCCUCGACCUCUCGAAUUGCUGGAAUUACAGGUGUGAGCCACCACACCCAGCU
rnacentral:lncRNA from 1 species